CCUACGGGAGGCAGCAGUGAGGAAUAUUGGUCAAUGGACGCAAGUCUGAACCAGCCAUGCCGCGUGCAGGAAGACGGCUCUAUGAGUUGUAAACUGCUUUUGUACGAGGGUAAACGCAGAUACGCGUAUCUGUCUGCAAGUAUCGUAAGAAUCAGGAUCGGCUAACGCCGUGCCAGCAGCCGCGGUAAUACGGAGGAUUCAAGCGUUAUCCGGAUUUAUUGGGUUUAAAGGGUGCGUAGGCGGUCGGAUAAGUUAGAGGUGAAAUCCCGAGGCUCAACUUCGGAAUUGCCUCUGAUACUGUUCGGCUAGAGAGUAGUUGCGGUAGGCGGAAUGUAUGGUGUAGCGGUGAAAUGCUUAGAGAUCAUACAGAACACCGAUUGCGAAGGCAGCUUACCAAGCUACUUCUGACGUUGAGGCACGAAAGCGUGGGGAGCAAACAGGAUUAGAUACCCCAGUAGUC
rnacentral:rRNA from 1 species